rnacentral:rRNA from 1 species
UACAGAGGGUGCGAGCGUUGUCCGGAAUCACUGGGCUUAAAGGGUGCGUAGGCGGCUCGUUAGGUAGGGUGUGAAAGCCCCCGGCUCAACCGGGGAAUUGCGCCCUAAACCGGCGAGCUCGAGUGAGAUAGGGGUGUGUGGAACUUCCAGUGGAGCGGUGAAAUGUGUUGAUAUUGGAAGGAACGCCGGUGGCGAAAGCGACACACUGGGUCUCAACUGACGCUGAGGCACGAAAGCCAGGGGAGCAAACGGG